rnacentral:rRNA from 1 species
CUUGCUCCUUGGGUGACGAGCGGCGGACGGGUGAGUAAUGCCUGGGGAUCUGCCCGAUAGAGGGGGAUAACUACGGGAAACUGUAGCUAAUACCGCAUAACGUCUACGGACCAAAGUGGGGGCUCUUCGGACCUCAUGCUAUCGGAUGAACCCAGGUGGGAUUAGCUAGUUGGUGAGGUAAUGGCUCACCAAGGCGACGAUCUCUAACUGGUUUGAGAGAAUGACCAGUCACACUGGAACUGAGACACGGUCCAGACUCCUACGGGAGGCAGCAGUGGGGAAUAUUGCACAAUGGGCGCAAGCCUGAUGCAGCCAUGCCGCGUGUGUGAAGAAGGCCUUCGGGUUGUAAAGCACUUUCAGCGGGGAGGAAGGGUCACUAGUUAAUACCUAGUGGCAUUGACGUUACUCGCAGAAGAAGCACCGGCUAACUCCGUGCCAGCAGCCGCGGUAAUACGGAGGGUGCAAGCGUUAAUCGGAAUUACUGGGCGUAAAGCGCACGCAGGCGGUUUGUUAAGUCAGAUGUGAAAUCCCCGAGCUCAACUUGGGAACUGCAUUUGAAACUGGCAAGCUAGAGUCUUGUAGA